rnacentral:rRNA from 1 species
AAAUUGAAGAGUUUGAUCAUGGCUCAGAUUGAACGCUGGCGGCAGGCCUAACACAUGCAAGUCGAACGGUAACAGGAAGCAGCUUGCUGCUUUGCUGACGAGUGGCGGACGGGUGAGUAAUGUCUGGGAAACUGCCUGAUGGAGGGGGAUAACUACUGGAAACGGUAGCUAAUACCGCAUAAUGUCGCAAGACCAAAGAGGGGGACCUUCGGGCCUCUUGCCAUCGGAUGUGCCCAGAUGGGAUUAGCUAGUAGGUGGGGUAACGGCUCACCUAGGCGACGAUCCCUAGCUGGUCUGAGAGGAUGACCAGCCACACUGGAACUGAGACACGGUCCAGACUCCUACGGGAGGCAGCAGUGGGGAAUAUUGCACAAUGGGCGCAAG